UACGUAGGGUGCGAGCGUUGUUCGGAAUUAUUGGGCGUAAAGAGCUCGUAGGCGGUUUUGUUGCGUCGACUGUGAAAAACCUGGGGGCUUAACUCUGGGCUUGCAGUCGAUACGGGCAGACUUGAGUUCGGUAGGGGAGACUGGAAUUCCUGGUGUAGCGGUGAAAUGCGCAGAUAUCGGGAGGAACACCUAUGGCGAAGGCAGCUCGCUGGGACGUUACUGACGCUGAGACGCGAAAGCGUGGGGAGCAAACAGG
rnacentral:rRNA from 1 species